UGGGGUGUAGCUCAGUGUUAGAGCACUUGCCUAGCAUGCAUGAAGCCCUGGGUUCCAUCCCCAGCAACACAC
rnacentral:tRNA from 1 species